GCUGGUGUGGCGAAAUGGCAGACGCAGUUGACUCAAAAUCAACCGGGCUCACACCCGUGUCGGUUCAAGUCCGACCACCAGCA
rnacentral:tRNA from 1 species